rnacentral:piRNA from 1 species
UAGAAAUUCAUUGGCUUGUCUUGGGUUACU